UGUUUUGGUGACUAUGGCCUUAUAGCAUAGUUUGAAAUCAGGUAGUGUGAUGCCUGCAGAUUUGUUCUUUUUGCUUAGUCUUGCUUUGUCUAUAUGGGCUCUUUUUUGUUUCCAUAUGAAUUUUAGAAUUGUUUUUUCUAAUGCUGUGAAGAAUGAUGGUGGUAUUUUGAUGGAGAUUGCAUUGAAUUUGUAGAUUGCUUUUGGCAGUAUGGUCAUUUUUACAAUAUUGAUUCUACCCAUUUAUGAGCAUGGCAUGUGUUUCCAUUUGUUUGUGUCAUCUAUGAUUUCUUUCAGCAGUGUUUUAUAGUUUUCCUUGAUUUGAUUCUCCACUUGGUCACUGUUGGUGUACAGAAAAGCUACUGAUUUGUGUACAUUAAUCUUGUAUCCAGAAACUUUGCUGAAUUAUUUUAUCAGUUCUAGGAGCUUUCUGGAGGAGUCCUUAGGAUUUUCAAGGUAAAUGAUUAUAUCAUUAGUAAACAGGGACAGUUUGAGUUCCUCUUUACUGAUUUGGAUGCCUUUUAUUUAUUUCUCUUGUCUGAUUGCUCUGGCUAGAUCUUCCAAUACUAUGAUGAAGAGGAGUGGUGAUAUAGUGACAGUCCUUGUCUUGUUUCCAUUCUCAGAGGGAAUGCUUUCAACUUUUCCCCAUUCAGUAUUUUGUUGACUCUGGGUUUGUCAUAGAUGUCUUUUACUACAUUAAGGUAUGUCCCUUGUAUGCCAAUUUUGCUGGGGGUUUUAAUCUAAAGCGAUGCUGGAUUUUGUCAAAUGCUUUUUCUGCAUCUAUUGAGAUGAUCAUGUGAUUUUUGUUUUAAAUUCUGUUUAUAUGGUGUAUCACAUUUAUUGAGUUGCAUAUCUUUAACCACCCCUGCAUCCCUGGUAUGAAACCCACUUGAUUGUGGUGGAUUACCUUUUAGAUAUGUUGUUGGAUUCAGUUAGCUAGUAUUCUGUUAAGGACUUUAGCAUCUAUGUUCAUCAAGGAUAGUGGUCUGUAGUUUUCCUUUUUGGUUAUGUUCUCUCCUGGUUUUGGUAUUAGGGUGAUGCUGGCUUCAGAGAAUGAAUUAGGGAGGGUUCCUUCUCUAUAUAUCUUGUGGAAUAAUGUCCACAGGAUUGGUACCAGUUCUUCCUUGAAUGUAUGGUAGAAUUCUGCUGUGAAUCUGUUUGGUCCUGGACUUUUUUUAUGUUGGUAAUUUUUAAAUUAUCAUUUAAAUCUCGCUGCUUGUUAUUGGUCUCUUCAGGGUAUCUACUUCUUGCUGAUUAAGCUAGGUGUAAGAUUGUCCCCAUGGCCUGAAAGCUUAAGGAGAUAUAUAACUCCUCGCUUCUCAGGCCCAGUCCCAAGGCGCAAGGCCACUUGCGUCAGCAGUGUGUGCGGCAGCAUGCACCAGCAAGAUAGCAGAGGCAGAAAAAUAGCCAGUCAGAAGACACCUACCCCUGAAGAUUGAGAAAGAGGCCAUAUGGGUAAAACAUAGCAGUUACGUCAGACUAGGACACUUCCUGUUUACAGGAGACUGUAAAACAUUUGUCCCAUCCUCACUUGGUGCUAACGCCAUUUUAAGCCUCAGCCCGCCUGCACCCAGGCACUCAUUAAGACAGCAUGUUGCUCCACACUGCCUCGUGUUGUCUGUUGGUGCACUCUCGGGGUUCAAACUGUUACAAGAACCUUAUAUUUUGGUGCUGAAAUCUGGGAGGGGCUCAGGUCUGCAUCCCCCAUGGACCUAGCCCUCCACCCCAAAGAGCAGGCCACAGCAGCUGGACAAAGGAAGGUCCUCAGCCUCCAGUCGCCUCUCUGUGCAUGCAGUCGGUCACUGAUCUCGCCUACUGGCACAGACGUGUUUCCAGACAAUCCAGAUGAUGCUUCUGCUACAGCGACAUGACAGGAAUGUAAGAUUCUCCCGGGGCCUGAAAGCUUAAGGAGAUGAAUAACUCCUCCCUUCUCAGGCCCAGUCCCAAGGCGCAAGGGCCACUUGUGUCAGCAGUGUGCACCAGCAGCGUGCGCCGGCAAGAUAGCAGAAGCAUGAAAAGGGCCGGCCAGAAGACACCUACUCUGGCUGGAAGACACGUACCCCUGAAGAUCAAGAAAGAAGCUAUCUGGGAACAAUGUAGCAGUUACGUCAGACCAGGACACUUCCUGUUUACAGGAGACUAUAAAACCUUUGUCCUAUCAUCACUUGAUGUGGACGCCAUUUUAGGCCUCAGCCCGCCUGCACCCAGGCACUGAUUAAAACAGCAUGUUGCUCCAC
rnacentral:lncRNA from 1 species